CACACCGCCCGUCACACCAUGGGAGUUUGUUGCACCAGAAGCAGGUAGCUUAACCUUCGGGAGGGCGCUUGCCACGGUGUGGCCAAUGACUGGGGUG
rnacentral:rRNA from 1 species